GAUGAACGCUGGCGGCGUGCCUAAUACAUGCAAGUCGAGCGAACAGACGAGGAGCUUGCUCCUCUGACGUUAGCGGCGGACGGGUGAGUAACACGUGGAUAACCUACCUAUAAGACUGGGAUAACUUCGGGAAACCGGAGCUAAUACCGGAUAAUAUAUUGAACCGCAUGGUUCAAUAGUGAAGGACGGUUUUGCUGUCACUUAUAGAUGGAUCCGCGCCGCAUUAGCUAGUUGGUAAGGUAACGGCUUACCAAGGCAACGAUGCGUAGCCGACCUGAGAGGGUGAUCGGCCACACUGGAACUGAGACACGGUCCAGACUCCUACGGGAGUCAGCAGUAGGGAAUCUUCCGCAAUGGGCGAAAGCUUGACGGAGCAACGCCGCGUGAGUGAUGAAGGUCUUCGGAUCGUAAAACUCUGUUAUUAGGGAAGAACAAAUGUGUAAGUAACUAUGCACGUCUUGACGGUACCUAAUCAGAAAGCCACGGCUAACUACGUG
rnacentral:rRNA from 1 species